CCAUUUAUCCACAGAACAGAUACAGCAGCACAGUGGCAGUACAAGGUUCCCUCACAGGGCCCUGUCCAUUGUGACUCAGUGCAGAUCUGGGGUGAGUCCCCCAUAGCAGUGGG
ensembl:misc_RNA